GCCAGUUUUAUCCUUUUCUUCCGAGGCCGGUCCUCUGGCGUCUCUCCAGAUAUUGGCAGCAGAUGGCGCUCUAAGCUUAUAGUAAAAAGCUGGUGGCUCGAGGAAGGCGGUCAAGAUUAAUUCUAUCCUCUCUUUCAGCUCAAAGUCCUCCACCUCAAACUUCUUAAGGAAGCCAGUUCCCUCCGGCAGCUGUGGGGUACUCAGCGUUGCACCUCCACUAACCAAAUUCUAACCCAGAGAAAACAACAAGAGGCUGCUGAGGCAGUGACCAGGGCUGCAGAGGAAGAGUCUCGGCAGAGGAGAAGCCUGGCGGGAGAGUAUGCAGCAAGCCUGGCUCACCAACUGGAGAUCCUUCACCAAGACCUCCGCACCAGGCAGGACCAGUGGGCCUCUUUCUGCUCGGCACUGAUGGAAGCUCAAUGGCUGCUGAAAGCAUCUGCAAGCGCUAACC
rnacentral:lncRNA from 1 species